UUCCCCUAGUAAACGGGCGAGUGAGCGGGACAGCUCAAAUUUGAAAGCUGGCCUUCUGGUCCGCAUUGUAAUUUGUAGAGGAUGCUUUUGGCGCGGUGCCUUCUGAGUUCCUUGGAACAGGACGCCUUAGAGGGUGAGAGCCCCGUACAGUUGGACACCUAGCCUUUGUAAGCUCCUUCGACGAGUCGAGUAGUUUGGGAAUGCUGCUCUAAAUGGGAGGUAAAUUUCUUCUAAAGCUAAAUACCGGCCAGAGACCGAUAGCGCACAAGUAGAGUGAUCGAAAGAUGAAAAGCACUUUGAAAAGAGGGUUAAAUAGCACGUGAAAUUGUUGAAAGGGAAGCGCUUAUGACCAGACUUUUUCCAGGCGGAUCAUCCGGCGUUCUCGCCGGUGCACUUCGUCUGGUUUAGGCCAACAUCGAUUUUCGCCGGGGGAUAAAGGCUUCGGGAAUGUGACUCUCUACGGGGAGUGUUAUAGCCCGUUGUGUAAUACCCUGGCGGGGAUCGAGGUACGCGCUCUGCAAGGAUGUUGGCAUAAUGGUCAUCAGUGACCCGUCUUGAAACACGGACCAAGGAGUCGAACAUUUAUGCGAGUGUUUGGGUGUUAAACCCUCACGCGUAAUGAAAGUGAACGGAGGUGAGAGCCUUUUAGGUGCAUCAUCGACCGAUCCUGAUGUCUUCGGAUGGAUUUGAGUAAGAGCAUAACUGUUCGGACCCGAAAGAUGGUGAACUAUGCGUGGAUAGGGUGAAGCCAGAGGAAACUCUGGUGGAGGCUCGCAGCGGUCUGACGUGCAAAUCGAUCGUCAAAUCUGCGCAUGGGGGCGAAAG
rnacentral:rRNA from 2 species